rnacentral:rRNA from 1 species
GCAGUAGCCGCGGUAAUACGUAGGGUGCGAGCGUUAAUCGGAAUUACUGGGCGUAAAGCGUGCGCAGGCGGUUUUGUAAGACAGGCGUGAAAUCCCCGGGCUCAACCUGGGAAUGGCGCUUGUGACUGCAAAGCUAGAGUGCGGCAGAGGGGGAUGGAAUUCCGCGUGUAGCAGUGAAAUGCGUAGAUAUGCGGAGGAACACCGAUGGCGAAAGCACUCUGCUGGGCCGACACUGACACUGAGAGACGAAAGCUAGGGGAGCAAAUGGGAUUAGAUACCCCCGUAGUCCCUGUCUCUUAUAC